CAGCGAUGUGGAUCCUGCAGGAAGGCUAAUUAAAGCAGUGUGGAAAAAGAAAACUACACCAAGAUGGCAUGACCUACACACUGGAAGAAAUCUGGCAGAGAGGCACUUUGUGAUCACAGCAGACACAGGAUUCACACAACAGCCAUUUGGACUCCAGCAAAACCUGUGUUGCCAGAACUCAAGAGACUCCUGUGGCAGCUGGAAGGCAACUAGAGACAUUUGAGAGAGUAACCACGCAUGUAUGCAUCACAUUUCAUAGCAGCAAUCCAAGGGCAUUGCACAGUCAAGACAAAAUAUAUUUUACCAGUGAAGAGGAGAUGGCAGACAGAUUAAACUUCUUAUCCAGACCCACAGAGUUUGUGAGCAUGGAAAUGAAACCACACUUUGGGCACUGUUUAUUUGAAUGCUCCAACUGUAUGAAAUACAAAC